UGAGGAAUAUUGGGCAAUGCCCGAAAGGGUGACCCAGCAACGCCGCGUGGAGGAUGAAGGUCGUAAGAUUGUAAACUCCUGUUAGAGGGGAAGAAUAACUAAGUUUGGAGCUUAGUAUGACUGUACCCUCAGAGAAAGCCCCGGCUAACUACGUGCCAGCAGCCGCGGUAGUACGUAGGGGGCAAGCGUUGUCCGGAUUUACUGGGUGUAAAGGGCGCGCAGGCGGGAUAAAAAGUCAGUGGUGAAAUCCUACAGCUUAACUGUAGAACUGCCUUUGAUACUUUUAUUCUUGAGUUCGGGAGAGAGAGACGGAAUUCCAGGUGUAGUGGUGAAAUACGUAGAUAUCUGGAAGAACACCAGUUGCGAAGGCGGUCUCUUGGUCCGACACUGACGCUGAGGCGCGAAAGCGUGGGGAGCAAACA
rnacentral:rRNA from 1 species